GACGAACGCUGGCGGCGUGCUUAACACAUGCAAGUCGAACGGUAAGGCCCUUCGGGGUACACGAGUGGCGAACGGGGUGAGUAACACGUGGGUGAUCUGCCCUGCACUUCGGGAUAAGCUUGGGAAACUGGGUCUAAUACCGGAUAGGACCACGGUCUGCAUGGAUUGUGGUGGAAAGCUUUUGCGGUGUGGGAUGGGCCCGCGGCCUAUCAGCUUGUUGGUGGGGUGAUGGCCUACCAAGGCGACGACGGGUAGCCGGCCUGAGAGGGUGUCCGGCCACACUGGGACUGAGAUACGGCCCAGACUCCUACGGGAGGCAGCAGUGGGGAAUAUUGCACAAUGGGCGCAAGCCUGAUGCAGCGACGCCGCGUGGGGGGAUGACGGCCUUCGGGUUGUAACCUCUUUCUAGCAGGGACGAAGGGU
rnacentral:rRNA from 1 species